UCGGGAAUUUUGGACAAUGGGGGCAACCCUGAUCCAGCGAUGCCGCGUGGGUGAAGAAGGCCUGCGGGUUGUAAAGCCCUUUCGGUGGUGAAGAGGUGGGAUAGUGUUAAUAGCGCUAUUUUAUGACGGUAACCACAAAAGAAGCACCGGCUAACUCUGUGCCAGCAGCCGCGGUAAGACAGAGGGUGCAAGCGUUAAUCGGAAUUACUGGGCGUAAAGGGCGUGUAGGUGGAUUCAUAAGUCAGAUGUGAAAGCCCUGGGCUUAACCUAGGAACUGCAUAUGAAACUGUGAGUCUUGAGUGAAGUAGAGGUGGCGGAAUUUCCGGUGUAGCGAUGAAAUGCGUAGAUAUCGGAAGGAACACCGGUGGCGAAGGCGGCCACCUGGACUUUAACUGACACUGAGGCGCGAAAGCGUGGGGAGCAAACAGGAUUAGAUACCCUAGUAGUCCCUGAGCGGGCUGGCAAG
rnacentral:rRNA from 1 species